GAACCUGAAGAGCAAGCAAAUGUCCUCAUUGCUGCCUGCAGCACCAGCCCUCUCAGCCCUGCCAGUAUUUGUGGAUUCAAGUGCGCCUACAUCUGUGGAUGUGGAUGUGACAUCUCAUAACUGCUUGUAUAGUCCACCCACCAUUAACAUGCCAUCACCUGUCAAACAAGGACUAAGAGUUGGGCAACAAUCUUCCCGACCCCAUCUGUUCACUCCAUCAUACAGUUUAGGACUUGGACAGUAUGGAAAUGAAUCCAUUCCAUGCACUGCUGCAGAACUCCACAUCAUGACAAUGAUGGAAAAUGUACGACAGCACCAGAUACAGCAGGCUGUUACAUUAAAUAAUGUGCUGAGCCUGCUGCAAUCAGGUUCAAGCACCGUGGACCCGAGUCCAGAGCUACCAGAGGAAUUUAUAUUCCCUUUAAAGGACAUAAAUGACUAAGAUCAUUUUGAGGCGUGGCUCAAAAAUCCUGAAAACAAAGUUUCUAAACAAAAAAUGAUAUCAUUCUUGGCAACAAUUGGAGGGAGUGACUGUAGAAACACAGUCUGGAAUAUACUGAAUCAUGUUAUACACAAUGAUCUUGCGAAAAAAAUGAAUUGGA